GGGGGUUGCGAGGGCUGGAAUUGAGAACUGCUGCAUUAGGAUAAUCCACUCGGACAUCCAAUAACUCUACUGUGUUGCUAGAGGCCACGGUGUGGCGUCAGUCAUGGAUAGGUCAGUAUGGUCUAAGCCAGCUGAAAUUGACUCUGUCUCUCAAAUCUGUAAACACAUUUCACUGAAGUCAUCUACAGCCCGAGGAACCGACUGAAGCCUCUUAACACACACUCACACUCUCACAAUCUGGUUUGGUUACACAAGAAAUUAUUCUUUCUUUUCCAGGGCAAAGGACCACAUACAGUGGGGUC
ensembl:lncRNA